AACGACUCUCGGCAACGGAUAUCUCGGCUCACGCAUCGAUGAAGAACGUAGCAAAAUGCGAUACUUGCUGUGAAUUGCAGAAUCCCGUGAACCAUCGAGUUUUUGAACGCAAGUUGCGCCCGAAGCCUUUUGGCCGAGGGCAUGUCAGCCUGGGCGUCAC
rnacentral:rRNA from 1 species